AGCAUAUCAAUAAGCGGAGGAAAAGAAACUAAAACGGAUUCCCCUAGUAACUGCGAGUGAAGCGGGAAAAGCUCAAAUUUAAAAUCUGGUAGUCUAUGGCUGCCCGAGUUGUAAUCUAGAGAAGCGUUAUCCGCGCUGGACCGUGUACAAGUCUCCUGGAAUGGAGCGUCAUAGAGGGUGAGAAUCCCGUCUUUGACACGGACUACCAGGGCUUUGUGAUGCGCUCUCAAAGAGUCGAGUUGUUUGGGAAUGCAGCUCUAAAUGGGUGGUAAAUUCCAUCUAAAGCUAAAUAUUGGCGAGAGACCGAUAGCGAACAAGUACCGUGAGGGAAAGAUGAAAAGAACUUUGGAAAGAGAGUUAAACAGUACGUGAAAUUGUUGAAAGGGAAACGCUUGAAGUCAGUCGCGUUAGCUAGGAAUCAGCCUUGCUUUUGCUUGGUGUACUUCCUUGUUGACGGGUCAGCAUCAAUUUUGAUCGGUGGAUAAAGGCCAGUGGAAUGUGGCAUCUUCGGAUGUGUUAUAGCUACUGGUCGUAUACAUCGGUUGGGAUUGAGGAACUCAGCACGCCGAAAGGCCGGGUUUUUAACCACGUUCGUGCUUAGGAUGCUGGCAUAAUGGCUUUAAUCGACC
rnacentral:rRNA from 1 species